UACGAAGGGGGCUAGCGUUGCUCGGAAUCACUGGGCGUAAAGCGCACGUAGGCGGAUCUUUAAGUCAGGGGUGAAAUCCUGGAGCUCAACUCCAGAACUGCCUUUGAUACUGGGGAUCUCGAGUCCGGGAGAGGUGAGUGGAACUGCGAGUGUAGAGGUGAAAUUCGUAGAUAUUGGCUGGAACACCGGUGGCGAAAGCGGCUCUCUGGCCCGGUUCUGACGCUGAGGCGCGAAAGCGUGGGGAGCAAACAGG
rnacentral:rRNA from 1 species